rnacentral:lncRNA from 10 species
GCAAACGCACGCAGGAAGCGUUGUGCAAGCAGGCUCUGGAGACCCGCAGGCUCCUGGGCAGAGGGCUGCCUUCUGUGUGGGCUUGCCCCUCGCCACACCUGGCCAGGAGCCUCCCCCAGCCCCGUGACCCUUGUGUCAGAGCCUGGCCAGAUGACAGACGGCCUGGGGUGCAGGCGAGACCCACUGAACUGGCAGCUGAGGACAGGUCCAGGCCCAGUGGCUGGGGGACUUCUCAGAGCAGGUACCACAACAGCUACCCAAGGACUCAGGACUUUUCUCCCACAGCCAGACUUGGUGAUUGCAUGAAGGAGCCCAGCCUCGGAUGACCUUUCCCCGUGACAAGGCACUAGGAGAGCACAGACCUCCCCACACAAACACUGAGACACCCAACCUUGCGUGACCUUGAGCCAAACACAACUCUUAGGAUGUAACCUGCUUUACAAGAUGAGAAAGACACGAGUAAAAACAUCAGCAGACUCUGGAAGGUAAAUGAACAAUCCUGAUAACACCCAGCCCUUCCCCCGAGGCGGGCUUUUAAGCAUGAUCUUGCUUGUCCUUGAAAUCAUCCCUGUGAAGGCAGGGAGAGGGAGGACCAUUAUCUCCAUCUUACAGAGAGAGAAACCAGGCACUGAAAAUAGACAGCAACCCACACAGCGGGUCAUGCUGGCAUUAGACUCAAGGCCACAUGAGUGUUGGCCCUGACCUGUUUCUUCUGCCCCAUGGAGGACCAGUUAUUUCCUUAGCCCAGGGGCCCCAGUGACUGAAGGAAGGUCUGGAGGGAGACACUGUUUUUAGGUCUAAAAAGGGGAGAGGAAACAAGAGAGAAGAAGAAGGAGCAAAAGAAAAAGGGAAGGAGGGAAAGCAGAGAUAAAGAUGGGACCUGGAAGGGGCAGGGUAGACACUAACAGGUUGCCAGGACUCUUAAUGACAGCACAUGUGAGAACCUGGCUUGGCAAGCUCGGUUUUACCAGCCUUAAAGGCUUCCAUGCCCUUCCAUCAUCACCCAGCAUUACUGGAAAUUCACUAGGGUUAUACAUUCAGAAGAAUACACAGCCACUCCCCUUCAUUUCUGAGCAGGGGUAGCUCCCAUAUCCGCCAGCCUUUUUCCUCCCCUCAGGGCCCGGUUUACGACACUUCAAGUUUUGUUCUCUGUUGUCAGGUGCUGUUGUGUAAGGUGGGAGAACAGAUACUCCUGUGGGUGUGCUUGAGCUGAAACACAUUUAUCUAAAUCUGAGCAGCAGGUGCUUUCACACACAGGAAGAGUGGUAUCUGGUACCUUCCUGUAGGGCUGCGAGGGUCCUUCCCUUUCUGCCCACAGCAGCAGAUCUGGGCCCACGUUGAAGACAAGCCCUCACUGCACUUGGGCAGCUAUAAUUUACCAGGCACGUCAAGGGUUGGGAAAGCUGUGACUAACAAGUCUAGCUUGUGCAAGACUCAUCCUCUUACCUCUCUCUCACCAUCACAUCCCCAGCCCCACUAAAGAGUAGGAUUCUGGCUGAGUCUUUGGCUAAGAUGACAAAUGGCAGCCCCUCUUGUUGAGACAUCCUAACUCACACCGCUGGAUCCGGAAGAUGCACACAAACUCCACUUUUGCUAGCUUGCAGCCCCAAGGGUGUUCCAGAAAGUAGACCUUUAUAACAGAACAGCUUCCUGGACUACAGGCAUUGCUGUAUCACUGCAUCCAGGCCAUAAUUCUGAUUGCCCCCUGUAAACCGGGAAACUCACUCCUCAGGAUGCCCACCUUGCUGUUUGCCAUCAUGGAAAUGCACUGAAGUGGCUCACCUACAUUGUUACAGAUAAACCACGGGCCACAGUUGCAGCACUCUUCUCAGGGUGUGGAGGGGAAAUGACAUCUAUUCUUUGAUUAAUGUUGUCUCUCUCUGUCCCCAGAGUCAGUAAACAAACAAGCUGUCCUUGGAGCAAGCAAGCGCUUCCCUUUCGGCAUCUCCCCCUCUCUGAGCGGCAGCCCUGCAAGCGAGCUGGUGGAUUCAACUGGGACUCAGAAGACUGCACUUGAGGAGAUCAUCGUGAGUUGAAGAUCUCUUGCUUAGUCUCGCAGAAACUUCAUCAAGUCUAGCUCACCUGGGAGUCAGUUGGUGCCGGCGAAUCAAUUCGUGCCAGUGAAAUUCACCAAGAGCCUGAUUUACAAACUAGAGAGCCAUGGCCUUAAUUUUAGAGCAAAAGACAAACUUUUCCAAUGAAUAUAGUUUUCUUGUCCAAUAGCUAGGACACCCCCCUCCACCUGCUGUGUACUAAUGAAGCAGAUUUUUUUUUUUGAGUUUUGCUCUUGUUGCCCGGCUGGAGUGCAAUGACACCAUCUUGGCUCACCACAACCUCCACCUCCGGUUUCAAGUGAUUCUCCUGCCUCAGCCUCCCAAGUAGCUGGGAUUACAGGCAUGUGCCACCAUGCCUGGCUAAUUUUGUAUUUUUAGUAGAGACGGGGUUUCUCCAUGUUGGCCAGACAGGUCUCGAACUCCCAACCUCAGGUGAUCCACCCGCUUUGGCCACCCAAAGUACUGGGAUUACAGGCGUGAGCCACAGCGCCCGGCCAAUGAAGCAGAAUUUUUAGCCAGAUGUGUGUGAUACACCAAACCAAAGUGAAAGGAAUUGAAUGACCCUGGAACUUGCUUCAUCUGAUAGGAUGCAUUAGAUAGAGGCUGAUAGAAUAUCUCUUCCCAGAUGGUGAAUAAACUUUUUCUAGUGACCAACAUGUUUAUGUUCGCUAAACACAAUGUCUUUCUGCUUUGACAGUGCUGGAAGUAACUAUUCUUAACUUCGUCCGCUCUUUUGGCACCCCCGGAGGCUCAGGCCCCUGCUCUUUGCCCAUAGUGACAAGAUGAUGCAUUAUUUGUGGUUAAUCCCAUUUAAGAAGGGCUGCUUCCUAAAGGUAUCUAAGAAAAGACCUUAAUUUCCUUAGUCCUAGAAGUGUGCGAAGCACCCAGUGGCUUAGUUUCUAGUCCCAGCUCUGCCACAUCCUAGCUGGUGUCCUUGUACAGAAUUACUUCACUUCUACAAGCCUCAGUUUCUUCAUUUGUAACCUACUUACUUCUGGUUAAAGGUUGAUCAUCAUGUAGAUAAAAAAUACAAGGCCAGGUGCGGUAGCUCACGCCUGUAAUCCCAGCUCUUGGGGAGGCCAAGGUGUGCAGAUCACAAGGUUAGGAGUUCGAGAUCACCCUGGCCAAUAUGGUGAAACACCAUCUCUACUAAAAAUACAAAAAUUAGCCUGGUGUGGUGGCUGGUGCCUGUAGUUUCAGCUACUCAGGAGUCUGAAGCAGGAGAAUCGCUUGAACCCAGGAGGCAGAGGUUGCAGUGAGCUGAGAUCGCCCCACCGCACUCCAGCCUGGGUGACAGUGCGAGACUCCAUCUCAAAACAAUCAAACAAACAAACAUAUAUAUAUAUAUAUAUAUAUAUAUAUGGGUCGGGCACUGUAGCUCAUACCUGUAAUCCCAGCUCUUUGGGAGGCCAAGGUGGGUGGAUCCCUUGAGCCCAGGAGUUCAAGACCAGCCUGGCCAAACCCCAUCCCUACAAAAAAUACAAAAAUUAACCCAGCGUGGUGGUGUGUGCCUGUGGUCCCAGCUACUUGAGAAGUUGAGGUGAGAGAAUCACUAGAGCCUGGGAGGUUGAGGCUGUAGUGAGCUGUGUUCAUGCCACUGCACUCCAGCCUGGGCAACAGAAUGAAACCCUGUUUCAAAAAAAAAUACUUUAUAGCAACAGAAGGGAACCCUCAUGGAAACUAUGGACUUUGGGUGAUAAUGACAAAUCUGUGUAGAUUCAUUGAUUGUAAGAAAUGUGCCAUUCUGGUGAGGGUUGUUGAUAAGGGGUGCG